rnacentral:rRNA from 1 species
AGUGAACGCUGGCGGUAGGCCUAACACAUGCCAGUCGAACGGCAGCACAGUAAGAGCUUGCUCUUACGGGUGGCGAGUGGCGGACGGGUGAGGAAUACAUCGGAAUCUACUUUUUCGUGGGGGAUAACGUAGGGAAACUUACGCUAAUACCGCAUACGACCUACGGGUGAAAGCAGGGGAUCUUCGGACCUUGCGCGAUUGAAUGAGCCGAUGUCGGAUUAGCUAGUUGGCGGGGUAAAGGCCCACCAAGGCGACGAUCCGUAGCUGGUCUGAGAGGAUGAUCAGCGACACUGGAACUGAGACACGGUCCAGGCGCCUACGGGAGGCAGCAGUGGGGAAUGUUGGACAAUGGGCGCAAGCCUGAUCCAGCCAUACCGCGUGGGUGAAGAAGGCCUUCGGGUUGUAAAGCCCUUUUGUUGGGAAAGAAAAGCAGCAGGUUAAUACCCCGCUGUUCUGACGGUACCCAAAGAAUAAGCACCGGCUAACUUCGUG